UAACACGUAGGAGACGAGCGUUAUCCGGAUUUACUGGGCGUAAAGCGCGUGUAGGCGGUCCAGCAAGUUGGAUGUGAAAGCUCCCGGCUUAACUGGGAGAGGUCGUUCAAUACUACUGGACUUGAGAGUAGUAGAGGGAGGUGGAAUUCCGGGUGUAGUGGUGAAAUGCGUAGAUAUCCGGAGGAACACCAGUGGCGAAAGCGGCCUCCUGGACCACUUCUGACGCUCAGACGCGAAAGCUAGGGUAGCGAACGGGAUUAGAGACCCCGGUAGUCCUAGCUGUAAACGAUGUAGACUUGGCGUUGGUGGGUUCAAAUCCAUCAGUGCCGAAGCUAACGCGAUAAGUCUACCGCCUGGGGACUACGGCCGCAAGGUUAAAACUCAAAGGAAUUGACGGGGCCCCGCAC
rnacentral:rRNA from 1 species